rnacentral:rRNA from 1 species
GGCCUCCCCGAGGACGCAAACGUAGCGCAGUCUAGUAUAGCAUUAUACCGUGAAACUGCGAAUGGCUCAUUAAAUCAGUUAUCGUUUAUUUGAUAGUACCUUACUACUUGGAUAACCGUGGUAAUUCUAGAGCUAAUACAUGCUAAAAACCCCGACUUCGGGAGGGGUGUAUUUAUUAGAUAAAAAACCAAUGCCCUUCGGGGCUCCUUGGUGAAUCAUAAUAACUUAACGGAUCGCAUGGCCUUGCGCCGGCGACGGUUCAUUCAAAUUUCUGCCCUAUCAACUUUCGAUUGUAGGGUAUUGGCCUACAAUGGUAUCAACGGGUAACGGGGAAUUAGGGUUCGAUUCCGGAGAGGGAGCCUGAGAAACGGCUACCACAUCCAAGGAAGGCAGCAGGCGCGCAAAUUACCCAAUCCCGACACGGGGAGGUAGUGACAAUAAAUACUGAUACAGGGCUCUUUUGGGUCUUGUAAUUGGAAUGAGUACAAUUUAAAUCCCUUAACGAGGAACAAUUGGAGGGCAAGUCUGGUGCCAGCAGCCGCGGUAAUUCCAGCUCCAAUAGCGUAUAUUAAAGUUGUUGCAGUUAAAAAGCUCGUAGUUGAACCUUGGGCCUGGCUGGCCGGUCCGCCUCACCGCGUGCACUGGUCCGGCCGGGCCUUUCCUUCUGGAGAGCCGCAUGCCCUUCACUGGGUGUGUCGGGGAACCAGGACUUUUACUUUGAAAAAAUUAGAGUGUUCAAAGCAGGCCUUUGCUCGAAUACAUUAGCAUGGAAUAAUAGAAUAGGACGUGCGGUUCUAUUUUGUUGGUUUCUAGGACCGCCGUAAUGAUUAAUAGGGAUAGUCGGGGGCAUCAGUAUUCAAUUGUCAGAGGUGAAAUUCUUGGAUUUAUUGAAGACUAACUACUGCGAAAGCAUUUGCCAAGGAUGUUUUCAUUAAUCAGUGAACGAAAGUUAGGGGAUCGAAGACGAUCAGAUACCGUCGUAGUCUUAACCGUAAACUAUGCCGACUAGGGAUCGGGCGAUGUUAUUAUUUUGACUCGCUCGCACCUUACGAGAAUCAAAGUUUUUGGUUCUGGGGGGAGUAUGGUCCGCAAGCCUGAACUUAAGAAUUGACGGAAGAA